rnacentral:rRNA from 1 species
CAUSAGCUMUAMCRUGCGAGUCGACGAUGAAGCCCAGCUUGCUGGGUGGAUUAGUGGCGAACGGGUGAGUAACACGUGAGUAACCUGCCCUUAACUCUGGGAUAAGCCUGGGAAACUGGGUCUAAUACCGGAUAGGAGCGUCCACCGCAUGGUGGGUGUUGGAAAGAUUUAUCGGUUUUGGAUGGACUCGCGGCCUAUCAGCUUGUUGGUGAGGUAAUGGCUCACCAAGGCGACGACGGGUAGCCGGCCUGAGAGGGUGACCGGCCACACUGGGACUGAGACACGGCCCAGACUCCUACGGGAGGCAGCAGUGGGGAAUAUUGCACAAUGGGCGCAAGCCUGAUGCAGCGACGCCGCGUGAGGGAUGACGGCCUUCGGGUUGUAAACCUCUUUCAGUAGGGAAGAAGCGAAAGUGACGGUACCUGCAGAAGAAGCACCGGCUAACUACGUGCCAGCAGCCGCGGUAAUACGUAGGGUGCGAGCGUUAUCCGGAAUUAUUGGGCGUAAAGAGCUCGUAGGCGGUUUGUCGCGUCUGUCGUGAAAGUCCGGGGCUUAACCCCGGAUCUGCGGUGGGUACGGGCAGACUAGAGUGCAGUAGGGGAGACUGGAAUUCCUGGUGUAGCGGUGGAAUGCGCAGAUAUCAGGAGGAACACCGAUGGCGAAGGCAGGUCUCUGGGCUGUAACUGACGCUGAGGAGCGAAAGCAUGGGGAGCGAACAGGAUUAGAUACCCUGGUAGUCCAUGCCGUAAACGUUGGGCACUAGGUGUGGGGACCAUUCCACGGUUUCCGCGCCGCAGCUAACGCAUUAAGUGCCCCGCCUGGGGAGUACGGCCGCAAGGCUAAAACUCAAAGGAAUUGACGGGGGCCCGCACAAGCGGCGGAGCAUGCGGAUUAAUUCGAUGCAACGCGAAGAACCUUACCAAGGCUUGACAUGUUCUCGAUCGCCGUAGAGAUACGGUUUCCCCUUUGSGGCGGGUUCACAGGUGGUGCAUGGUUGUCGUCAGCUCGUGUCGUGAGAUGCUGGGUUAAGUCCCGCACGAGCGCAACCCUCGUCCAUYGUGUCAGCACGUAUKGCUGGGACUCAUGGGAGACUGCUGGGCUCAACUCGGAGGAGUGAAGACGACGUYCAUCAUCAUGCCCUUAAUGAYUAUGUAGCAUMU